CAGUCGAGCGAGCUUGCCUAGAUGAUUUUAGUGCUUGCACUAAAUGAAACUAGAUACAAGCGAGCGGCGGACAGGUGAGUAACACGUGGGUAACCUGCCCAAGAGACUGGGAUAACACCUGGAAACAGAUGCUAAUACCGGAUAACAACACUAGACGCAUGUCUAGAGUUUGAAAGAUGGUUCUGCUAUCACUCUUGGAUGGACCUGCGGUGCAUUAGCUAGUUGGUAAGGUAACGGCUUACCAAGGCAAUGAUGCAUAGCCGAGUUGAGAGACUGAUCGGCCACAUUGGGACUGAGACACGGCCCAAACUCCUACGGGAGGCAGCAGUAGGGAAUCUUCCACAAUGGACGAAAGUCUGAUGGAGCAACGCCGCGUGAGUGAAGAAGGGUUUCGGCUCGUAAAGCUCUGUUGGUAGUGAAGAAAGAUAGAGGUAGUAACUGGCCUUUAUUUGACGGUAAUUACUUAGAAAGUCACGGCUGACUACGUGCCAGCAGCCGCGGUAAUACGUAGGUGGCAAGCGUUGUCCGGAUUUAUUGGGCGUAAAGGGAACGCAGGCGGUCUUUUAAGUCUGAUGUGAAAGCCUUCGGCUUAACCGGAGUAGUGCAUUGGAAACUGGGAGACUUGAGUGCAGAAGAGGAGAGUGGAACUCCAUGUGUAGCGGUGAAAUGCGUAGAUAUAUGGAAGAACACCAGUGGCGAAAGCGGCUCUCUGGUCUGUAACUGACGCUGAGGUUCGAAAGCGUGGGUAGCAAACAGGAUUAGAUACCCUGGUAGUC
rnacentral:rRNA from 1 species